CGCCCCUCCUGCCUGGGCCCCGGGACUGGCCCUGCCAUCACCCUGCUCCCUCGGUGAAUAGGCCAGGGCGCCCCUCCUGACGCCCUAUCCCUGCCCCUGGAGUCCCCAUCCCCUUCCCAGUGGGUGGCCGGCAGUCACCUCACCCAGAGUGGGCCAGCAGCCUGGCUGGGGCCUCACGGGGCUGACCUUCCCUGCAAAGGGAGACUAGAAGCCCCAGCUUAUGAAUCCCAAAUCCCUAGGAUCCAGAGGUUUUCAGACCGGUCCAGCCGGCGUAUAGGAAAGGUGAGACAACAGAGCCAAGUUCAGACUCCAGGACACCUCUGUGCCCUCCCCUGGUUCUAGGCCUCUCCUUCCAUCCGGCAAAGCGCC
rnacentral:lncRNA from 1 species